rnacentral:rRNA from 1 species
GACGAACGCUGGCGGCGUGCUUAACACAUGCAAGUCGAACGGAAAGGCCCUGCUUGCAGGGUACUCGAGUGGCGAACGGGUGAGUAACACGUGGGUGAUCUGCCCUGCACUUCGGGAUAAGCCUGGGAAACUGGGUCUAAUACCGGAUAGGAGCCAUUUUUAGUGUGAUGGUUGGAAAGUUUUUUCGGUGUAGGAUGAGCUCGCGGCCUAUCAGCUUGUUGGUGGGGUAAUGGCCUACCAAGGCGGCGACGGGUAGCCGGCCUGAGAGGGUGGACGGCCACAUUGGGACUGAGAUACGGCCCAGACUCCUACGGGAGGCAGCAGUGGGGAAUGUUGCACCAUGGGCGCCAGCCUGAUGCAGCGACGCCGCGUGGGGGAUGACGGCCUUCGGGUUGUAAGCUCCUUUCGCUAGGGACGAAGCUUUUUGUGACGGUACCUAGAUAAGAAGCACCGGCUAACUACGUG